rnacentral:rRNA from 1 species
AUUGAACGCUGGCGGAAUGCUUUACACAUGCAAGUCGAACGGUAGAGGGGGCAACCCCUCGAGAGUGGCGAACGGGUGAGUAAUAUAUCGGAACGUGCCCAGUCGUGGGGGAUAACGUAGCGAAAGUUACGCUAAUACCGCAUACGAUCUCAGGAUGAAAGCGGGGGAUCGCAAGACCGCGCGCGAUUGGAGCGGCCGAUAUCAGAUUAGGUAGUUGGUGGGGUAAAGGCUCACCAAGCCAACGAUCUGUAGCUGGUCUGAGAGGACGACCAGCCACACUGGAACUGAGACACGGUCCAGACUCCUACGGGAGGCAGCAGUGGGGAAUUUUGGACAAUGGGCGAAAGCCUGAUCCAGCCAUUCCGCGUGCAGGAUGAAGGCCCUCGGGUUGUAAACUGCUUUUGUACAGAACGAAAAGGUUUCUACUAAUACUAGGAGCUCAUGACGGUACUGUAAGAAUAAGCACCGGCUAACUACGUGCAGCCGCCGCGGUAA